rnacentral:rRNA from 1 species
GAAUUCGCCCUUAGAGUUUGAUCCUGGCUCAGGAUGAACGCUGGCGGCGUGCCUAACACAUGCAAGUCGAACGAAGCACUUUAUUUGAUUUUCUUCGGAGAUGAAGAUUUGGUGACUGAGUGGCGGACGGGUGAGUAACGCGUGGGUAACCUGCCUCAUACAGGGGGAUAACAGUUGGAAACGACUGCUAAUACCGCAUAAGCGCACAGUACCGCAUGGUACGGUGUGAAAAACUCCGGUGGUAUGAGAUGGACCCGCGUCUGAUUAGCCAGUUGGCGGGGUAACGGCCCACCAAAGCGACGAUCAGUAGCCGACCUGAGAGGGUGACCGGCCACAUUGGGACUGAGACACGGCCCAAACUCCUACGGGAGGCAGCAGUGGGGAAUAUUGCACAAUGGGGGAAACCCUGAUGCAGCGACGCCGCGUGAGCGAAGAAGUAUUUCGGUAUGUAAAGCUCUAUCAGCAGGGAAGAAAAAAUGACGGUACCUGACUAAGAAGCACCGGCUAAAUACGUGCCAGCAGCCGCGGUAAUACGUAUGGUGCAAGCGUUAUCCGGAUUUACUGGGUGUAAAGGGCGUGUAGGCGGGGACGCAAGUCAGAUGUGAAAACCACGGGCUCAACCUGUGGCCUGCAUUUGAAACUGUGUUUCUUGAGUACUGGAGAGGCAGACGGAAUUCCUAGUGUAGCGGUGAAAUGCGUAGAUAUUAGGAGGAACACCAGUGGCGAAGGCGGUCUGCUGGACAGCAACUGACGCUGAGGCGCGAAAGCGUGGGGAGCAAACAGGAUUAGAUACCCUGGUAGUCCACGCUGUAAACGAUGGAUACUAGGUGUGGGGGGACUGACCCCCUCCGUGCCGCAGUUAACACAAUAAGUAUCCCACCUGGGGAGUACGAUCGCAAGGUUGAAACUCAAAGGAAUUGACGGGGGCCCGCACAAGCGGUGGAGUAUGUGGUUUAAUUCGAAGCAACGCGAAGAACCUUACCAGGGCUUGACAUCCCGGUGACCGCUCUAGAGAUAGAGUUUUCCCUUCGGGGACACUGGUGACAGGUGGUGCAUGGUUGUCGUCAGCUCGUGUCGUGAGAUGUUGGGUUAAGUCCCGCAACGAGCGCAACCCUUAUUGUUAGUUGCUACGCAAGAGCACUCUAGCGAGACUGCCGUUGACAAAACGGAGGAAGGUGGGGAGGACGUCAAAUCAUCAUGCCCCUUAUGUCCUGGGCCACACACGUACUACAAUGGUGGUCAACAGAGGGAAGCAAAACCGCGAGGUGGAGCAAAUCCCUAAAAGCCAUCCCAGUUCGGAUCGCAGGCUGCAACCCGCCUGCGUGAAGUUGGAAUCGCUAGUAAUCGCGGAUCAGCAUGCCGCGGUGAAUACGUUCCCGGGCCUUGCACACACCGCCCG